rnacentral:rRNA from 1 species
AUUGAACGCUGGCGGAAUGCUUUACACAUGCAAGUCGAACGGCAGCACGGGCUUCGGUCUGGUGGCGAGUGGCGAACGGGUGAGUAAUACAUCGGAACGUGCCCAGUCGUGGGGGAUAACGUAGCGAAAGCUACGCUAAUACCGCAUACGAUCUAAGGAUGAAAGCGGGGGAUCGCAAGACCCUGCGCGAUUGGAGCGGCCGAUGGCAGAUUAGGUAGUUGGUAGGGUAAAGGACUACCAAGCCGACGAUCUGUAGCUGGUCUGAGAGGAUGAUCAGCCACACUGGGACUGAGACACGGCCCAGACUCCUACGGGAGGCAGCAGUGGGGAAUUUUGGACAAUGGGCGCAAGCCUGAUCUAGCCAUUCCGCGUGCAGGAUGAAGGCCUUCGGGUUGUAAACUGCUUUUGUACAGAACGAAAAGGCUCUGGUUAAUACCCGGGGCUCAUGACGGUACUGUAAGAAUAAGCACCGGCUAACUACGUGCCAGCAGCCGCCGUAA